rnacentral:rRNA from 1 species
UCGGGAAUUUUGGGCAAUGGGCGAAAGCCUGACCCAGCAACGCCGCGUGAGGGAUGAAGUAUUUCGGUAUGUAAACCUCGAAAGAAUGGGAAGAAUAAAUGACGGUACCAUUUAUAAGCUCCGGCUAACUACGUGCCAGCAGCCGCGGUAAUACGUAGGGAGCAAGCGUUGUUCGGAUUUACUGGGCGUAAAGGGCGCGUAGGCGGCGCGGUAAGUCACUUGUGAAAUCUCUGAGCUUAACUCAGAACGGCCAAGUGAUACUGCUGUGCUAAAGUGCGGAAGAGGCAACCGGAAUUCUUGGUGUAGCGGUGAAAUGCGUAGAUAUCAAGAGGAACACCUGAGGCGAAGGCGGGUUGCUGGGCCGACACUGACGCUGAUGCGCGAAAGCCAGGGGAGCAAACG